UGCAGUCGAGCGACAGAUAAGGAGCUUGCUCCUUUGACGUUAGCGGCGGACGGGUGAGUAACACGUGGAUAACCUACCUAUAAGACUGGGAUAACUUCGGGAAACCGGAGCUAAUACCGGAUAACAUAUUGAACCGCAUGGUUCAAUAGUGAAAGGCGGCUUUGCUGUCACUUAUAGAUGGAUCCGCGCCGUAUUAGCUAGUUGGUAAGGUAACGGCUUACCAAGGCAACGAUACGUAGCCGACCUGAGAGGGUGAUCGGCCACACUGGAACUGAGACACGGUCCAGACUCCUACGGGAGGCAGCAGUAGGGAAUCUUCCGCAAUGGGCGAAAGCCUGACGGAGCAACGCCGCGUGAGUGAUGAAGGUCUUCGGAUCGUAAAACUCUGUUAUCAGGGAAGAACAAAUGUGUAAGUAACUGUGCACAUCUUGACGGUACCUGAUCAGAAAGCCACGGCUAACUACGUGCCAGCAGCCGCGGUAAUACGUAGGUGGCAAGCGUUAUCCGGAAUUAUUGGGCGUAAAGCGCGCGUAGGCGGUUUUUUAAGUCUGAUGUGAAAGCCCACGGCUCAACCGUGGAGGGUCAUUGGAAACUGGAAAACUUGAGUGCAGAAGAGGAAAGUGGAAUUCCAUGUGUAGCGGUGAAAUGCGCAGAGAUAUGGAGGAACACCAGUGGCGAAGGCGACUUUCUGGUCUGUAACUGACGCUGAUGUGCGAAAGCGUGGGGAUCAAACAGGAUUAGAUACCCUGGUAGUCCACGCCGUAAACGAUGAGUGCUAAGUGUUAGGGGGUUUCCGCCCCUUAGUGCUGCAGCUAACGCAUUAAGCACUCCGCCUGGGGAGUACGACCGCAAGGUUGAAACUCAAAGGAAUUGACGGGGACCCGCACAAGCGGUGGAGCAUGUGGUUUAAUUCGAAGCAACGCGAAGAACCUUACCAAAUCUUGACAUCCUUUGACCGCUCUAGAGAUAGAGUCUUCCCCUUCGGGGGACAAAGUGACAGGUGGUGCAUGGUUGUCGUCAGCUCGUGUCGUGAGAUGUUGGGUUAAGUCCCGCAACGAGCGCAACCCUUAAGCUUAGUUGCCAUCAUUAAGUUGGGCACUCUAAGUUGACUGCCGGUGACAAACCGGAGGAAGGUGGGGAUGACGUCAAAUCAUCAUGCCCCUUAUGAUUUGGGCUAC
rnacentral:rRNA from 1 species